GACGAACGCUGGCGGCGUGCUUAACACAUGCAAGUCGAACGCUGAAGCUUGGUGCUUGCACUGGGUGGAUGAGUGGCGAACGGGUGAGUAAUACGUGAGUAACCUGCCCUUGACUCUGGGAUAAGCCUGGGAAACUGUGUCUAAUACUGGAUACGACAUGUCACCGCAUGGUGGCGUGUGGAAAGGGUUUUCCUGGUUUUGGAUGGGCUCACGGCCUAUCAGCUUGUUGGUGGGGUAAUGGCUCACCAAGGCGACGACGGGUAGCCGGCCUGAGAGGGUGACCGGGCACACUGGGACUGAGACACGGACCAGAAGCGUACGGGAGGCAACAGUGGGGAAUAUUGCACAAUGGGCGAAAGCCUGAUGCAGCGACGCCGCGUGAGGGAUGACGGCCUUCGGGUUGUAAACCUAUUUCAGCACGGAAGAAGCGAAAGUGACGGUACGUGAAGAAGAAGCGCCGGCUAACUACGUG
rnacentral:rRNA from 1 species